AAUAUUGGACAAUGGGCGCAAGCCUGAUCAAGCCAUACCGCGUGAGUGAAGAAGGCCCUCGGUUUGUAAAGCUCUUUUGUUGGGAAAGAAAAGCUGUUGGAGAAUACCCGGCACGGAUGAAGGAACCAAAAGUAUAAGGACCGUCUAACUUCGUUCCAUCAGCCGCGGUAAUACGAAGGGUGCAAGCGUUACUCGGAAUUACUGGGCGUAAAGCGUGCGUAGGUGGUGGUUUAAGUCUGUUGUGAAAGCCCUGGGCUCAAACUGGGAAUUGCAGUGGAUACUGGAUCACUAGAGUGUGGUAGAGGGUGGCGGAAUUCCCGGUGUAGCAGUGAACUGCGUAGAGAUCGGGAGGAACAUCCGUGGCGAAGGCGGCCACCUGGGCCAACACUGACACUGAGGCACGAAAGCGUGGGGAGCAAACAGG
rnacentral:rRNA from 1 species